rfam:Listeria monocytogenes str. 4b F2365, complete genome.
UAUAUAUAAAGUACAACGAACAAAUAAAAGGUGAUGCGAAUGAAACAAACUUGGUGUACAAGCUGAUUUUUUUCUCAGCUUUGUCAUAUGCCGGCAAAACGUCUGGUGAAGGAUUUUAGUGUCAAGCAGCUACGGUUAGCUUACAGGAGGAAGGCGAGGAGUAUACGCCGCGUCAAGGACUUUACGCUAACUUAGUUGUAGGAAGACGGAAUUUCGUUACGUCGCUCGUUUAUCAAUAUUUUUAUCCUCACUACAUUGGUAAAUAAGCGAAUAAAGUAUCGUAUCAUUUAUGGCCACUAUUUAAGCAAGUUACGGGCGCUCAUUUAUUCGUAAGCUAGAAUAUCUUGAGAAGUAAGUAGCAAGACAAAGAAUUCGCCUACUUGUUUGAAAAUGCCUCACCGUUUUCCGAAUGUUGUAUGUUUAUUCAGAAACAUCCAGACAUGGUCCGGCCCAUCAGAUGAGUGGCAAGACAAGCUCAUCCGAAAAGAAAAACCCCGCGUGACGAAAUCG